rnacentral:tRNA from 1 species
AUAUAGCUCAGUGGUACAGGGCUUGCCUGGCAUGCAUGAGGCCGGGGUUCAAUUCCCAGUAU